GUCGAACGCGCAGCAUUCUGUAGCAAUACAGGGUGUGGGCGCGUGGCGAACGGGUGCGUAACACGUGGAUAACCUUCCUUCAGGUGGGGAAUAACCCAGUGAAAACUGGGCUAAUACCGCAUAACAUGCCGAUGGCACAUGCUGUUGUCUUCAAAGGCGCAAGUCGCCAGAAGAGGGAUCCGCGGCCGAUUAGCUUGUUGGCGAGGUAAUGGCUCACCAAGGCAUUGAUCGGUAGCCGGACUGAGAGGUUGGCCGGCCACACUGGAACUGAGACACGGUCCAGACUCCUACGGGAGGCAGCAGUGGGGAAUCUUGCACAAUGGACGAAAGUCUGAUGCAGCAACGCCGCGUGGGGGAUGAAGCUUCUCGGAGUGUAAACCCCUUUCGACCCGGAAGAAUGCCCGCAAGGGUUUGACGGUACGGGUAUAAGAAGCCCCGGCUAACUACGUGCCAGCAGCCGCGGUAAUACGUAGGGGGCCAGCGUUGCUCGGAAUUACUGGGCGUAAAGGGUCUGUAGGCGGUGCGGCAAGUCGAUAGUGAAAUCCCUAGGCUUAACCUAGGGGCUGCUAGCGAAACUGCCGUGCUAGAGUGUGAGAGAGGCGAGUGGAAUUACGGGUGUAGCGGUGAAAUGCGUAGAUAUCCGUAGGAACAUCCGAGGCGAAAGCGGCUCGCUGGAUCACAACUGACGCUGAGAGACGA
rnacentral:rRNA from 1 species